UCUUUGUUUUCUCAUCUCUAUCUUCUUUGUUUUCUCUCUUGAAUAUUAGAAUUAGAAUAAUUGUUGCAAAAAUUCGGGGUUGUGAUGAUGAUUUUCUUCUUUGUUUCUCCGAGAAUGAGAAAAUUGAUAGUGUAAGAGAGCAAUCGGACCCGUAUCUUGGCGGGGCAACCCGGAUGGAAGGUUAUCCUGCAACCGGUGCUUGCAGUCAUGGCGGUGAUUCCAAUCUCUCUUAUCGUAUUACAAAUCCGAGCUUCAAUGUUUAAAUUUCUUAGGGUCUAUUGAAAAUCGCCUCUUUACCUCCACAAGAUAGAGACAUGUAACAGUGCUUUAGGUUUAAUCCAUCUCUCGCCUUCUCUCGCGUAUGGCUGUAUGUACCUUUUAGAGACAGAAAGAGCACACUCAAGUUGCACGGUAAGCUAAGUAUUCAUUUUCACUAUUAGCCUUUUGUUUCUUGGUUCAUUUUGUUGACCGUUUCUAUUCUUCCGAAAAUUUGUUUUGACAUUCAAAAAUCGACUUGACCAUGAAAUCAGUAGACAAUGAAGAAGAAACAGAGCAAGUAGUUUUAGAGCUCUUUAUGUGUGUGGUGGUGUUGUAUCAGGUAAAUUAUUAUAUCGUAUUUUUAUUAUCAUUUUUUGGUUAUCUCUAUUUGUUUUUUUAUUAUAUUUUUUUGGGUUCUACGUUGAGAUUUCUCUGCAUCCAAAGAAGACCCAAUUCGGUUCUUCUGAUUCUAGGCAGAUUAGGUUGAUUUACUACAUUUGUAGAAUUUGACUAUUUGUUGAAUCCACUAAUUUGAGGUGACAAAUCUGGUAGCUCACUAGAUUUGCUUAACUGUUUAUUUACACAUAUUGCUCGAAUGUUAACCUGCUCCCUUUUUUCCUUCACUCUGCACUUUGAAAAAUAUUUGUUGUCUAUGUCUUUUGCAUCUUUGUUGUUUCAAAUACAAGUACUAACACCUAAUCAUUACUUUAUAAUUGUACAGGUAUUCCAUUUCAAGUUUAUAAGGAGGCUACAAGAAGUCUAAUUUAUGAAUAGUUACCUUGUGUGUGAUGUUAAAGAGUGUAUUUUAGCAUUUAUCAAUAUAAAAAUGAAGUCAUGGACAUUGUUCCAAAAUGUCUAUGAAUUAUGUCUUGAGUUGCUUUUCAAGGAGUAAGGUGUGAGUAAGUAUUGUUUAAUGAAGAAGGUAAAAAGGUGCAAUUCAAUUUUGAGACCAAGUGUUGAGUUGGUCUUUCACAUUAAACUUGAGAAAAAAAAAGGAACUAACUUCAGUAAAUGCAUAUUAGUACUGUAGGAUCUUACUCAUUCAUGAUGGCUUUCUUUUGUUACUUAAUUGUAAUUUUCCAAAACUUGUUUUGCUUGAACAGGGUUCAUCGUUUAGGGAAAUAUCAUAUUCGAAAAUAUUUUGCCACGAAUUGACAGAUUGCAGGAGAAGCAACACAGUAAAUUGGAUAAUGAAGCUUAUUUGGAUGAGAAUCACAUGCUAUUUAAAAAUAUCCAGUUCCUUGUCGAAGUAUUGCACCCUCUACUCUAUUUUAUUUCGUAUGAAAUCUCUUCUAAUUGCUGAUUUCUACACUUCUGAAUCGCACACAUGGGCACAUUGGAUGAUUCUUUUGACGAUCCUUCAUAAUGUGGCAUUUUUAUUCAAGUUGAAAGAAGAGGUAAAGAAGCUUCAAUCAAUCCAGCAAGCUAAAAGUGGCGUUGACAUAGUCUCUGAGAUAAGGGUGAAGACUCAUUAUGCUACACCAAUUGGUGCUGAUCAAAGAAUUGGCCAGUACUUAUCUAGCAUCUUUAAUUAUUAUUCAUUCUUGUUAAUGAUGAGGUUUAGUUUUGAGGUUUAUUGAAAAAUCAAGGUAAGGUCUACCUACAUUCUACCUUGAUGAGAUCCCACUUGUGGGAUCAAACUAGGUAUGUUGUUAUCGUCGUCAAAUUAGUAAUGUUUUGCUCCAUUUUUAAGAUUCUUAUAUUUGAAUUUGUGCAUAUGAUGUGUCUUUUACUGUAGUCUACAAAGCAGAUCGAAUUGCCACAUACUUUGUUAAGUGGUUGGGGAAGAGUACUCCUGGUUUGUCAUAUGGAUUGGCCCUGAGUGAGGCUUUGAUUGCACCUGCAAUGCCCAGCACUACGGCAAGAGAUGGUGGGGUAUUUUUGCCUAUUAUUAAGUCUCUCACUUUCAGCUGGAAGUAAACGUGGUGAACCCUCCUCCAAGAAGCUAGGAUCUUACUUGAUUCAAUCUCAAUUUCAGGGUAGUUGUAUAAGCCAACUAAACCAGAGAGCACGUAGUGGAGGCCUAUGUUUCUAUCCCCCGCAAAAGCUAAGGAAAACAUCUCUAACUUGUUAGGAUGGACACCGAUGUACUUGAAAACAUGAUCUGCAAGGAGGCCAGAAAGAGAGAGUCGCUGCAAUUGCUUGCAUUGUUGCAAAUGGCCCCAAAACCAGCAUCAAGUGCAUAUAUUGCAAAUGACUCAAUACAGUAACUGCAUUUGUAAAAAAAAUUGAGAAUAUCUCUUGUUAAAUUUUGCAUUUUUCUUGUAGAUUACCCUUUUCUGAGUACUUGUGUCCUUAGAGGUGCAAAAAAGCUUUGAUCUUUGCAUCUGAAUGUGACAACCCUGAUUACCUAACCCUUGGACUGCUUGACACUGGUUUUGGGGCCAUCAUUCACCAUUGCAGGCAAUUGUGACGACUUCCCCAUUCACGCCUCCACUACGUAUUCCUCCAGUUGUGUAAGCCUUUGUAAUCUGGAGAGAAGAGACUGCCCCUUCAGCAACGAGUCUCUGUUGGUCAAUGUUGCAAAGCUGGAGACGGUAGGAUAUCUUUAGAUGCCUUGUUGUUCAGUAAUUUAUGGAUCAGAAGUUACCAAGGGUUAAUGUGUGUAAUGUGUACUUUUACUUUUUCUUAAUUGUGUAAUGUGUACUGCUUUCUGUACACGUGUAGCACGAAUUUUAUGUCAAAAAAAAAGAAGGAAAUAUCCCAAUUCAUAUUGACUCUCACACCUUCCGCUUUA